rnacentral:rRNA from 1 species
UACGUAGGGCGCAAGCGUUUGUCCGGAAUUAUUGGGCGUAAAGAGCUCGUAGGCGGUUUGUCGCGUCUGCUGUGAAAACCUAAGGCUCAACCUUGGGCUUGCAGUGGGUACGGGCAGACUAGAGUGCGGUAGGGGUGACUGGAAUUCCUGGUGUAGCGGUGGAAUGCGCAGAUAUCAGGAGGAACACCGAUGGCGAAGGCAGGUCACU